rnacentral:rRNA from 1 species
UACGUAGGGGGCGAGCGUUGUCCGGAAUUAUUGGGCGUAAAGCGCACGCAGGCGGUUCGCUAAGUUCGAGGUGACAAUCCCCGGCUUAACCGGUGAACGAUUUCGAAAACUGGCGGACUUGAGAGCGAGAGAGGGACAUGGAACUCCGGGUGGAGCGGUGAAAUGCGUAGAGAUCCGGAAGAACACCAAUAGCGAAGGCAGUGUCCUGGCUCGUAUCUGACGCUGAGGUGCGAAAGCUAGGGGAGCGAACGGG